rnacentral:piRNA from 1 species
UCCAUUCUGGGCCUGGGCCGGCCACUGC